rnacentral:lncRNA from 1 species
CUGGGAAUCAAUGUGUGAGGUGGUGCUAUGUAGCAGGAACCCCUCUUGCUUUGCAAAUAGUUUUUUGUUUGUUUUCCUUUUUGCCCAAUAGAGCCCUGCUCUACUGACCCUUCAAUGUGCCCGUGUGCCUAAAUAUUCCUGGUCGUGUGAAAAGAACCCAGGUAUUAGCUGAACUAAGGAGCACAAUUCUGCAACAUUUUGGCACCCAAACACGGGGCUUGAGAAAUGAAUGCAAUUGGAGAAACUGGUUGUUUUACCAGGCGUUGAUUGGAAAUGUGUGCUUCCCUUUAAGCAGUCAAGCUCAACUUGCAGAACUGAUGGGAACCCCUUGGGAAAACUGGCCUCAAAUGUUUGUCUACACAGUCCACAUACAGGGUUCUUAACCUGCGAUGAGGGAAACUUCCCAGGGCUUGUCUGGGUAUGCCCACAGUGGACUGGAGCCCAAAAUGCACACUGGAGGAAGUGGAUGGAGCCACGUGGAUGUCAUGCCUUAUGCAGGGGAGGAGCCUGCUCUCUUCAGCUCCUGUGGUAAUGUGGGAAUCGAUCUGUGAGCAUAUUUAACUAUCCGGCUAUUUUGGAGAUUGAAAAAAGAAGACCUGAUUUAUCAUGUGCAAUAUCUCACACAUCUGUCAUUUCUAUUCUACCGCAAUUCGAUGGAGUCUUGUUCUGUGGUCCAGGCUAGAGGGCAGUGGCAUGAUCUCGGCUCACUACAAGCUCUGCCUCCCGGGUUCACGCCAUUCUCCUGCCUCAGCCUCCUGAGUAGCUGGGACUACAGGCGCCCGCCACCACGCCUGGCUAAUUUUUUGUAUAUUUACUAGAGAUGGCUAGUGUUAGCCAAGAUGGUCUCGAUCUCCUGACCUCGUGAUCUGCCCACCUCAGCCUGCCAAAGUGCUGGGAUUACUGGCGUGAGCCACCGUGCCUGGCCAGCAUCCUCUAAUUAUUAUUCAUAGUUUGUGAAUUUAGGCCUACGUGAAUAAUAAUAUAAUAUUUACUAUGAUGUUACUAUCUACCAACCUUAUUUUUCUUUUCUAUAAAAUAGGAGCCAAAAUAAUAUUUAUGUCAUACCUUAUGAAGUUAAAAUAAAAUAUAACGAAUGAGGGGCUUAAAAAAAAAAAAAAAA